AUUAGUUAUGGUGAUAUGGUUCCAGCAACAAUAACUGGAAAGAUUGUUGGUGGCGUUUGCUCGUUGAGCGGUGUGCUGGUCAUUGCUUUACCUGUGCCAGUGAUAGUCUCGAAU
rfam:Sarcoptes scabiei Contig10535, whole genome shotgun sequence.